rnacentral:rRNA from 1 species
GCCAGACUCCUACGGGAGGCAGCAGUGGGGAAUAUUGGGCAAUGGGCGCAAGCCUGACCCAGCAAUGCCGCGUGAAGGAAGAAGGCCUUCGGGUUGUAAACUUCUUUUAUCAGGGACGAAGGAUGUGACGGUACCUGAUGAAUAAGCUCCGGCUAACUACGUGCCAGCAGCCGCGGUAAUACGUAGGGAGCAAGCGUUAUCCGGAUUUACUGGGUGUAAAGGGCGUGUAGGCGGGCCUGCAAGUCAGAAGUGAAAUCUGGGGGCUUAACCCCCAAACUGCUUUUGAAACUGUGGGUCUUGAGUGAUGGAGAGGCAGGCGGAAUUCCCAGUGUAGCGGUGAAAUGCGUAGAUAUUGGGAGGAACACCAGUGGCGAAGGCGGCCUGCUGGACAUUAACUGACGCUGAGGCGCGAAAGCGUGGGGAGCAAACAGGAUUAGAUACCCUCGUAC